GACGCUGGCGGCGUGCUUAACACAUGCAAGUCGAACGAACCUUCGGGUUAGUGGCGGACGGGUGAGUAACGCGUGGGAAUCUGCCCUCAGGAGGGGGAUAACGGUUGGAAACGACCGCUAAUACCCCAUAUGCCGAGAGGUGAAAUGAAUUUCGCCUGAGGAUGAGCCCGCGUCUGAUUAGCUUGUUGGUGAGGUAAUGGCUCACCAAGGCUUCGAUCAGUAGCUGGUCUGAGAGGAUGAUCAGCCACACUGGGACUGAGACACGGCCCAGACUCCUACGGGAGGCAGCAGUGGGGAAUUUUCCGCAAUGGGCGAAAGCCUGACGGAGCAACGCCGCGUGAGGGACGAAGGCCUCUGGGCUGUAAACCUCUUUUCUCAAGGAAGAAGAUAUGACGGUACUUGAGGAAUAAGCCACGGCUAAUUCCGUGCCAGCAGCCGCGGUAAUACGGGAGUGGCAAGCGUUAUCCGGAAUUAUUGGGCGUAAAGCGUCCGCAGGCGGCCUUUCAAGUCUGCUGUUAAAACGUGGAGCUUAACUCCAUCAUGGCAGUGGAAACUGAUUGGCUUGAGUAUGGUAGGGGCAGAGGGAAUUCCCGGUGUAGCGGUGAAAUGCGUAGAUAUCGGGAAGAACACCAGUGGCGAAGGCGCUCUGCUGGGCCAUUACUGACGCUCAUGGACGAAAGCCAGGGGAGCGAAAGGGAUUAGAUACCCCUGUAGUCCUGGCCGUAAACGAUGAACACUAGGUGUCGGGGGAAUCGACCCCUUCGGUGUCGUAGCUAACGCGUUAAGUGUUCCGCCUGGGGAGUACGCAC
rnacentral:rRNA from 1 species